ACGUAGGUGGCGAGCGUUGUCCGGAAUCACUGGGCGUAAAGGGCGCGUAGGCGGUUUUGCAAGUCGCAUGUGAAAGACCAGGGCUUAACCUUGGGAGGUCAUGCGAAACUGCAGGACUUGAGUGCAGUAGAGGUAAGCGGAAUUCCUGGUGUAGCGGUAAAAUGCGUAGAGAUCAGGAGGAACACCGGUGGCGAAGGCGGCUUACUGGGCUGCAACUGACGCUGAGGCGCGAAAGCGUGGGGAGCAAACAG
rnacentral:rRNA from 1 species